AGUGAACGCUGGCGGUAGGCCUAACACAUGCAAGUCGAACGGCAGCACAGGAGAGCUUGCUCUCUGGGUGGCGAGUGGCGGACGGGUGAGGAAUACAUCGGAAUCUACUCUGUCGUGGGGGAUAACGUAGGGAAACUUACGCUAAUACCGCAUACGACCUACGGGUGAAAGCAGGGGACCUUCGGGCCUUGCGCGAUUGAAUGAGCCGAUGUCGGAUUAGCUAGUUGGCGGGGUAAAGGCCCACCAAGGCGACGAUCCGUAGCUGGUCUGAGAGGAUGAUCAGCCACACUGGAACUGAGGCACGGUCCAGACGCCUACGGGAGUCAGCAGUGGGGAAUAUUGGACAGUGGGCGCAAGCCUGAUCCAGCCAUACCGCGUGGGUGAAGGAGGCCUUCGGGUUGUAAAGCCCUUUUGUUGGGAAAGAAAUCCAGCUGGCUAAUACCCGGUUGGGAUGACGGUACCCAAAGAAUAAGCACCGGCUAACUUCGUGGCAGCAGCCGCGGUAA
rnacentral:rRNA from 1 species